UACGAAAGGGGGGCUAGCGUUGUUCGGAAUUACUGGGCGUAAAGCGCACGUAGGCGGCUUUGUAAGUUAGAGGUGAAAGCCCGGGGCUCAACUCCGGAAUUGCCUUUAAGACUGCAUCGCUAGAAUUGUGGAGAGGUAAGUGGAAUUCCGAGUGUAGAGGUGAAAUUCGUAGAUAUUCGGAAGAACACCAGUGGCGAAGGCGGGUCUCUGGACAGUUCCUGACGCUGAGGCACGAAGGUCA
rnacentral:rRNA from 1 species